AGUGAACGCUGGCGGUAGGCCUAACACAUGCAAGUCGAACGGCAGCACAGUAAGAGCUUGCUCUUACGGGUGGCGAGUGGCGGACGGGUGAGGAAUACAUCGGAAUCUACUUUUUCGUGGGGGAUAACGUAGGGAAACUUACGCUAAUACCGCAUACGACCUACGGGUGAAAGCAGGGGAUCUUCGGACCUUGCGCGAUUGAAUGAGCCGAUGUCGGAUUAGCUAGUUGGCGGGGUAAAGGCCCACCAAGGCGACGAUCCGUAGCUGGUCUGAGAGGAUGACAACCCACACGGGAAGUGAGACACGGUCCAGACCCCUCCGGGGGGCAGCAGGGGGAAAUAUGGGAAAAGGGGGGCAAGCUUGACCCACCCUUCCGGGGGGGUGGAAGAGGGCUUGCGGUUUUAAAGCCCUUUUGGUGGGAAAAAAAAAGCACCAGGUUAAUCCCCCGCUGUCCUGACGGAACCAAAAAAAAAAGCCCCGGCUAACUUCGUG
rnacentral:rRNA from 1 species